rnacentral:misc_RNA from 1 species
GAUGAAGAACGUAGCGAAACGCGAUAGGUAAUGUGAAUUGCAGAAUUCAGUGAAUCAUCGAAUCUUUGAACGCACAUUGCGCCCUUUGGUAUUCCAAAGGGCAUGCCUGUUCGAGCGUCAUUUGUACCCUCAAGCUUUGCUUGGUGUUGGGCGUCUUGUCUCUAGCUUUGCUGGAGACUCGCCUUAAAGUAAUUGGCAGCCGGCCUACUGGUUUCGGAGCGCAGCACAAGUCGCACUCUCUAUCAGCAAAGGUCUAGCAUCCAUUAAGCCUUUUUUUCAACUUUUGACCUCGGAUCAGGUAGGGAUACCCGCUGAACUUAAGCAUAUCAAUAAGCGGAGGA